UGGGGAAUUUUCCGCAAUGGGCGAAAGCCUGACGGAGCAAUACCGCGUGAGGGAGGAAGGCUUUUGGGUUGUAAACCUCUUUUGUUAAGGAAGAAGCAAGUGACGGUACUUAACGAAUCAGCAUCGGCUAACUCCGUGCCAGCAGCCGCGGUAAUACGGAGGAUGCAAGCGUUAUCCGGAAUUAUUGGGCGUAAAGCGUCCGCAGGUGGCUUUUCAAGUCUGCUGUCAAAGACCAGAGCUCAACUCUGGGCAGGCGGUGGAAACUGGGAAGCUAGAGUACGGUAGGGGUAGAGGGAAUUCCCAGUGUAGCGGUGAAAUGCGUAGAGAUUGGGAAGAACACCAGUGGCGAAGGCGCUCUACUGGACCUGUACUGACACUCAGGGACGAAAGCUAGGGGAGCGAAAGGGAUUAGAUACCCGUGUAGUCC
rnacentral:rRNA from 1 species